AGAUGUGUAUAAGGGACAGGUGAGUCAUCGAAUCUUUGAACGCACAUUGCGCCCCUUGGUAUUCCGGGGGGCAUGCCUGUUCGAGCGUCAUUAUCACCCCUCAAGCUCAGCUUGGUGUUGGGGCCUGCCCGUCACAGGGCAGCCCCUAAAAGCAGUGGCGGUGCCAUCUGGCUCUACGCGUAGUAAUACUUCUCGCGACAGAGUCCCGGUGGUGUCCUGCCAGAACCCCAAAUUUUAUCACGAUUGACCUCGGAUCAGGUAGGGAUACCCGCUGAACUUAAGCAUAUCAAUAAGCGGAGG
rnacentral:misc_RNA from 1 species